AUCGCUUCUCAGCCUUUUGGCUAAGAUCAAGUGUAGUAUCUGUUCUUAUCAGUUUAAUAUCUGAUACAUCCUCAAUGCGAGGACUUUAUAUUAAAUGGACUUUUGGGCUCAGUCUAUUUAUUUAUUUAUUUAUUGCCAAUAUAAACCUUGAUCUGAUAUUAGGAAAAACUUUA
rnacentral:snRNA from 1 species